GACAGAGGGUGCGAACGUUGCUCGGAAUCAUUGGGCGUAAAGCGCGUGUAGGUGGCUUGUCACGUCAGAUGUGAAAGCCCCGGGCUCAACCUGGGAAUUGCAUUUGAGACUGCGUAGCUAGGGUGCGGAAGAGGGAAGCGGAAUUUCCGGUGUAGCGGUGAAAUGCGUAGAUAUCGGAAGGAACACCAGUGGCGAAAGCGGCUUCCUGGUCCAGCACCGACGUUCAGGCACGAAAGCGUGGGGAGCAAACAGG
rnacentral:rRNA from 1 species